AUUGAACGCUGGCGGCAGGCCUAACACAUGCAAGUAGAACGAGUGGCGGACGGGUGAGUAAUGUCUGGGAAACUGCCAGAUGGGGGGGGAUAACUACUGGAAACAGUAGCUACUACCGCCUACCAUCGGAUGUGCCCAAGUGGGAUUAGCUAGUUGGUGGGGUAAAGGCUCACCGAGGCGACGAUCCCUAGCUGGUCUGAGAGGAUGACCAGCCCCACUGGAACGUAGACACGGUCCAGACUCCUACGGGAGGCAGCAGUGGGGAAUAUUGCGCAAUGGGCGCAAGCCUGACGCAGCCAUGCCGCGUGGAUGAAGAAGGCCUUCGGGUUGUAAAGUACUUUCAGCGAGGAGGCGUUACUCGCAGAAGAAGCACCGGCUAACUCCGUGCCAGCAGCCGCGGUAAUUC
rnacentral:rRNA from 1 species